AGAGUUUGAUCCUGGCUCAGGAUAAACGCUGGCGGCGCACAUAAGACAUGCAAGUCGAACGAACUUAACCAUUAGUUUACUAUUGGAGCGGUUAGUGGCGGACUGGUGAGUAACACGUAAGCAACCUGCCUAUCAGAGGGGAACAACAGUUAGAAAUGACUGCUAAUACCGCAUAUGCCUUGAGUAUCACAUGGUACAAAAGGGAAAGGAGCAAUCCGCUGAUAGAUGGGCUUGCGUCUGAUUAGAUAGUUGGUGAGGUAACGGCCCACCAAGUCGACGAUCAGUAGCCGGACUGAGAGGUUGAACGGCCACAUUGGGACUGAGAUACGGCCCAGACUCCUACGGGAGGCAGCAGUCGGGAAUAUUGCGCAAUGGAGGAAACUCUGACGCAGUGACGCCGCGUGCAGGAAGAAGGUUUUCGGAUUGUAAACUGCUUUAGACAGGGAAGAAACAAGACAGUACCUGUAGAAUAAGCUCCGGCUAACUACGUGCCAGCAGCCGCGGUAAUACGUAGGGAGCAAGCGUUAUCCGGAUUUAUUGGGUGUAAAGGGUGCGUAGACGGGAAAUUAAGUUAGUUGUGAAAUCCCUCGGCUUAACUGAGGAACUGCAACUAAAACUGAUUUUCUUGAGUGCUGGAGAGGAAAGUGGAAUUCCUAGUGUAGCGGUGAAAUGCGUAGAUAUUAGGAGGAACACCAGUGGCGAAGGCGGCUUUCUGGACGACAACUGACGCUGAGGCGCGAAAGUGUGGGGAGCAAACAGGAUUAGAUACCCUGGUAGUCCACACCGUAAACGAUGGAUACUAGGUGUAGGGUGUGAUAAACAUUCUGUGCCGUCGCAAACGCAGUAAGUAUCCCACCUGGGGAGUACGGCCGCAAGGUUGAAACUCAAAGGAAUUGACGGGGGCCCGCACAAGCAGUGGAGUAUGUGGUUUAA
rnacentral:rRNA from 1 species